rnacentral:rRNA from 1 species
GUCUACAGCCAUACUACCCUGAACGUGCCCAGUCUCAUCUGAUCUUGGAAGCUAAUCAGGAUUGGGUCUGGUUAGUACUUGGAUGGGACAAACAAACCAGACGAAAUAAAAA